AGCAGCUGCCCCUGUUAGGUUUGGUGAUCUUGAACAGGCCUCGGCUGCUUCCCACGGCAGUCCGAUUGGGGGUGCAGAUCGGCCUUGAGUGUUCGCAGCAAAGGUCUAUGACCUUGUGAAAUGAAUAGAAUGAGACAAAGCAAGGCCUCAACCCUUCAUGCAGGCACGUGGUCGGACUGUGCGCCUACAGGGAGAGGCCCUGUGUGGGAGGAAAGAGCAAGGAGCUGGUCCAAAAGGAAGCAAAUAUUUUGUCUGAAGUAUGGACAAAUGGGAGAUGAAAGUACAAUAGGUCCUUGCAGUGUGUAA
rnacentral:lncRNA from 1 species